rnacentral:rRNA from 1 species
UGGGGAAUUUUGGACAAUGGGCGAAAGCCUGAUCCAGCAAUGCCGCGUGUGUGAAGAAGGCCUUCGGGUUGUAAAGCACUUUUGUCCGGAAAGAAAUCCUUGGCUCUAAUACAGUCGGGGGAUGACGGUACCGGAAGAAUAAGCACCGGCUAACUACGUGCCAGCAGCCGCGGUAAUACGUAGGGUGCAAGCGUUAAUCGGAAUUACUGGGCGUAAAGCGUGCGCAGGCGGUUUGCUAAGACCGGAUGUGAAAUCCCGGGCUCAACCUGGGAACUGCAUUGGUGACUGGCAGGCUAGAGUAUGGCAGAGGGGGGUAGAAUUCCACGUGUAGCAGUGAAAUGCGUAGAGAUGUGGAGGAAUACCGAUGGCGAAGGCAGCCCCCUGGGGCCAAAUACUGACGCUCAUGCACGAAAGCGUGGGGAGCAAACAGGAUUAGAUACCCCUGGUAGUCCACGCCCUAAACGAUGUCAACUAGUUGUUGGGGAUUCAUUUCCUUAGUAACGUAGCUAACGCGUGAAGUUGACCGCCUGGGGAGUA